rnacentral:lncRNA from 1 species
GGAGUGUUUAGUAAAUGUCUUGGGAGGAUCAGGGGUCUUUCUUUCAGAAAACAACUUGUUUUAUUAUCAGAUCCAUUCUUCCUUAUUGAAAAAGCAUGGCUUCAAGAACUCGUCUGUGAUGCCUAAAGCCUUCGUCUCCCUCAUACGUACAAACACAACAAAUAAUCUUAUUUGUAUGCCGCUUUUACACAGCCCAAACCAUGCUCAAGGUGGCUUACAUCUUAAAAAAAUACAUUUAUAACAUAACAAAAGUAGCCAUAAGCAAUAAAUAAAACAAAAAAUAUGCAACCAGACCAACAAUUUCCACACAAAUCACAGGUUCUGAAAUAAAGAUACAAAAAACCAACAGCAGCAACCCCAUAAUAAAACACCCCAACCCCAAAACAACAUCUUCAGUUAUGCCAGUCACAGAAUCAUAGAAUUGUAGGGUUCGGAGGGACCCCAAGGGUCAUCUAGUCCAACCCCCUGCAAUGCAGGAAUCAGAGCUGAUCACAGUCUUCCUACUUUGGUGGAGGAAAGAAGGGCUGCAUCCAAGCAACAUCCAUCAGACUCCUGAACUGGUUUUUCUUCCCCCAUCUCCUCUGUGAGGGAUCUGAUUUGUUGGCUGACUAUUCCUACCACUCCAGCAAAGGCAGGAAAUGAGCUGUGGCUCGGAUGUCAGAGUUGCUGUCAGGGGCAACCAGGAAGCUCCCAGUGACUGAUGGUGUGUGCUGAGACCUCAGAGACCUCGGCUGUUUCGAGACGGGUGUUAUUGUGGACCAGCUGCUCCUCAUGCAGGCUCGUUUUUCCACAGCAAGCCCAACUGUAUUGUCAGCAUACAAGUCCCAGCCUCCGCCCCCAAACCCCACCGUCCAGUAUUCCAAAUGCAGCCACGGAAUUGUAGAAUUGGAAGGUACCACACAAGGAUCAUCUAGUGCAAGCCCCUUCAGUGCAGAAAUCUUUCCCUACGACUUCGGACUAAAACCCACAACCCUGUGAUUAUGCGUCUCCUGCUUACUGACUGGAUUUGUAUAAACAGGUUGCUGUUUUCCUUACCGGAUCAGAACCCUCCUUUCCUUGGCUGGUCUGAGUUUCUCAGUGUCUGCCUUCUCCAAGGAGUAUUUUGUGUGUGCCGUUUAAGUCACAAGAACAUCAGAAGUGCCCAUGGAUCAGGCCCAUGGUCCAUCUGGUCCAGCUUCUUGUCUUCACAGUGGCCACCCAGAUCCCUCCAUGGGAAACCCAGAGCCCUCUCCCCUCCUUUGGUUUCCAGCAACCAAUAUUCAGAUGACCGUGGAGGCCGAGAGCAUAGCCAACAUGGCUAGUAGCCACCCAUAGGCCUCUCCUCUACGAAUUCAUCUAAAUCUCUGCCUGCGCUGGAGGAGAGCCCAUCCCCGCGCUGGCUCUUGAAAUGGGAUGCAGGCCUCUGCGAACAAAGGCCCCUCUUCAUCCCUUUUCGGCCUCCCUCCCUCAGUAUGAAGGUCAGGGGAAAGGCUGACUUAUAAAGGCAUAAACAAACCGUGCAGAAAUGCUUAUGGUAAUUCCACUUCUCUUCAGAAAUAUCAGCUCCCCCCCCCUCUCCUUUUUUUUUUGAAAUCUGCUUUAAAUGGUUUCCCUUCUAAUGAAAACCCGCAUGUAAUCUGUUAGCAAGGGAUGUCUGCCGGCCCAUGAAUUAUUCAGCAGGCCCUCUGUUCCGUUAUCUGGCGUCUCUUGAGAUUCCCCCUCCAUUGUCCGCCAUGAUGGGUCAUUAUGCACUCGGUGGAUUUAAUCUUUUAGGCUAUCCAGC